CUCCUCCUUCCCCUCCCUCCUCCCCCUUCCUCCUCCCCCCUCCUCCUCCCCCCUCCUCCUCUUUCNUUUUAAGAUUGAUUUGUUUAUUUUAUUUAUGUGCUUAUAUUGCAGCUCUCUUCAGACACACCAGAUCUUAUUACAGAUGUGAACUCAGAACCUCUGGAAGAGCAGUCAGUGCUCUUAGCCGCCAAGCCGUCUCUCCAGCUCUAGUUUCCUAUUCUUAAGCAGCAAGAUUUCAUGUAACCAGUAGGCUGGUCUCUACCUCCUGUAGUUGGAGAUUACCUUGAACUUCUGAUCCUCUUGCCUCUCUAUCCUGAGUACUAGGAUUGCAGCUGUGUCCCCCCUCCCCCGCCACAUCGUUAAUUCCUGAAUUACAAAUUUUGGAUGCAAAGCCCACUGUUGUUCUGUAUAAGUGAUAAUGGUGUUUCAGAGCUGAUGGAGAUGCGGGAGCUGAUGACUGAGAAAUAUUCAUCCGGUCCAACUGACCCGAACGUGCUGUGAUUUUGGAUUAGAAAUGAUUUUAAUUUUCUCCAAAGACCUUUCCUAGUGUUCUUUCUAGUUUUUUUUUUCAUCAUAAAUUGGUGAUGAAUUCUAACUAAGAUGGUUCAGUAAAGAUAAAUGUUGACAU
rnacentral:lncRNA from 1 species